CCCCAUUCCCCUCACGGCCGCGGAGGGCGGGAAACGCCGCGGGGAGCCCCCGGGAUGAGGAACCCUGGAAUUGUGGAAUUGGACAGAGCAACGCAGCGCUGGGGAAAACGUGAGGUUUCACCGCCCGCUCCACGCUUCUACCGAACUUGGUUUGCAGCUCCCUUUUUAUGGUCCAUGUUCUUUAUUUAAGAGAGAUCGGAGCUGCCGCAGCUCAGGGACAGAGCCAGGAAACUCCCCCGACCCAAAAGAAGAGAAGGGCUGAGCAUGGCACUAAUUAGCACGGGAAGCAAGAGAAUAAUUACCAGUACAAUACUAAUU